UGUAAAUUCGUUUUUGAUUUUGUUUUUGAUACCUGUUGUAAAACGAGGGAGAAAACGGGUUAUGUUGUUUGUAAAGGUCACAGAGAUGUAUAUUUUGAGGACCACAGUUACAGGGUCAGUAUUGGGACUGAAGCAAGGCCAUGACCGGAGCUGCCCAGCCCAAAGCCUUGCCAUGCAGACAGCACCAAAUUCAAGCCAUUUUACAACCACCACCCCAAAGAAGAAAACCUAACUAUCGGCAUUGUAUUUGAUAUCGACGGCUCCGAAAAUAUGUCCAUUUUAAGCUCACACGGGAGGCCCCACCACCGGGGAUGGCCUAGGAGAUCACUGGAGCCACACCAACUGAUGCAGAAACAGGGGGAGGGGGAGGCGGCCAGGGAGCCGCCGG